rnacentral:rRNA from 1 species
UGGGGAAUUUUGGAACAAUGGGCGCAAGCCUGAUGCCAGCCUGCCGCGUGAGUGAAGAAGGCCUUCGGGUUGUAAAGCUCUUUCAGCCGGGAAGAAAACGCAUGGGUUAAUACCCUGUGUGGAUGACGGUACCGCGUAAUAAGAAGCACCGGCUAACUACGUG